UGUUUUCUGAUCCUUGAGCGAUGGAAGUAGGAUGGAUGAGGCUCAGAUGGUCGUUCCAAGGUUUAAUUGGCGAGCUACAAUUAUUUAACUCUUGCAUAUAAGUUAGUUGUCUAAUUUUCUUUUUAAGAAUGAUAUCUUCAGGUGUAUGGAUUGUAUCUUUGUUUCAACUACUAUGUUCAACUUGUAGACUACUCUUGUGCCUCUUGAAUAAUCUUGAGUGAUAUGUGUGACUUAAUAUUCCUCCUUAGUGUUGCCCCAUGGGUCUAUUAGUAGCAUUUUACUUGUUACUAUUGAUUUGCAUUUUUGCAUUCGUAACAACUGCCAACCACGGAUAGAAUAGAUAUCCAUGCUGGCAUUCUCUAACAUCUAAAUUUUUCAUUCUCUGAUUAAUAUAUUAACCGACCCGCUAUAGAUAUUUCUUCGCAGUGAUAUCUUGACUAGCCACACCUUCAGAAUACACUAUCAACAAAGAAUGAGGCCAUACAAAAUCUGCAGUUAGGAAAAAAAAGUACGUUUUUUUUUUCCCCUUGGUCAAAAAAAAGAUAUGGUUUGAGAUUCUAUUUUUCCUUCUUCCGAAAGAACAAAAAGGAUGUAAGAGAGAAAAUCUGUAGCUGACUGAUUUUAGUUUUAGUAAUCGUUAAUUUUUGACUUCCCUGGUAAGAAUCAAUUGGUCAGGCACAGGAAUCGCAAUUGGAAUUGUAGAGUCUGGGAAUCAUCUUACAGAAAAUUCAAAAAGCUGUCACCCAUUUGAAUGCUGAAGUAGUGCGAAGAGAGUUGUUGGGUAGCAUUCAAGCCAUUGUGGUUUCCCUUAUCAAAAGAUAGUGUGGUCACAAGAUCUUUUUGAGUAUUAAUUAAUGAUGCACAUGCGGUGGAUUGUAGGACAUCUGCCAUUUGCUUAUUCUUGCGGGGCCAUGUAAAGGGUAGAUGGAAAUCUUUGCUGAGAUUCUUCACCCUAGAUGCUAUGUAGAAUUGCAUUAAUCUGCUAAUAAGACCAUUUUAUACAUAAUCUUGUGGUUUGUGGCGCCAAAGGUUUCCCUGUCACCCACUUGAAAGCCACUGUUAAAAUGUUUAAUUUGGUCAUUCAAAGCCGUGCUAUCCUUGGUUCGGACUCUCAAAUUAGCUAUUAUCUUUGCCUUGUUAAUGCAUCUAACAGCCUGUCAUUUUGGGUUUCACUGAUGGCUGCUGGGAAGGAGUACAUAGAAAUGCACAACUAUAUAUAUCCUUAUUAUAGCUUGCAACAGUUUUUCUUUGUAAAUAACUUUCUAUUCUCAUCAUAUCAUUUAUCCAUAUGCCAGGGUAGAAGAACAUUCUCCUCGGUCAUAGGAGGCCAUGAAGAAUUUGCAGCUGUUGAAAAGAAAAAUAACAGGCUCACUAAAUGUAUUUUUUCCUCUUCUCCCGUAUUGCUACAAAUUCCAAUGAGGCACGUUCAUCCUGGCAUAUCUUCCAAAGUUUUGAUUGACUGUGGUCAUUUUGUAUUUUGUUACAGUUUCUUUCCCUUUUUUAUACUCCAAGUUCUCCCUGCACCAAUUCUAGAUCUUUUGGGGGCUUUAAGUUUCGUACUUUUUGGGUUGAAAGAUGACUUAAACAUGUUAGAUACUAGAGAAUGUUCUCAAGUUUUUUGUUACCAAUAUAUAUACUGUCCUUUUUUCAUUAGUGGAUGAUUGUAUCUUUUUCUUAUUGCUUUUGAUUAUCUAAUUGCUUUUGAUGAUUACGUGCUGGAACUAGAAUUGUACCUUUUCUUAAGGGAUAGAAGGCAAAUAAGAUGACAAAUUAAAACCUCAUCUCAGACUUUUAAUUAUGCUUUAAAAUUGUGAUCUUUUAAAAGAUGACGGUUGAAAGCACUUUUAAUCACAUUUUACAACUAUCAUCUUAUACUUUUAAUUACACUCGCAAACCAUCAUCUUUAUACUUAUUAAUUAUGGUUUGAAUGUGUCAUCUAAAAUUCAGACUUUUAAUGACACCUCUAGAGGUGACCAUUCAUAUUGUUGAUUGAAUCUAGCGAAAAAGGGCUGGAAGAUUACUUGGUUUCACCAUCUAAUUGGGAUUUUUAAUCUGACAUUUUUCGUGCAAUGACACAAAUGGUAACAAAACAUUAUUCUUGUCCACUAAGAUAAUAGGAGUAGUUUUCAGACCAGAUCAGCUUUCGUUACUGUAUUGCCAACAACCUCUAUGCUUGUUCAGUACGGAUAUGGUUUUACUGCUACUCUACUAAAUAUAACUGAUAAGUAUUAUUUUCUACUCCCAGUUAUGCCCCGGACUUUGGCGUGUUCCAAUUCUGCAUAGCUGUCAAAGAGCACGAUUGGAGAGAGGGAACGGAGCAAUAUAACUUCGUUGACUACUGUCUCGCGUCCGAUGAUAGACAAAAAUAACUAUGGCUGAUAUUCCUCAAGCAUAAGAUGAUCGGUCAGGGCCAAUUUACAAUUUUCCCGGGUUCUCAUCUCAUCUUAGACGUGGCGAAAGAUCAUCACAAAGAACUCUAGAAAAUCAUCUGCCUCUCUCACGCCACAGACUCUCGCUACCCAGUACAUGCUUACUCCAUCUGAGAAGAGAGAAAGAGAGUGAGAGAGAGAGAGAGAGAGA